rnacentral:rRNA from 1 species
UCGAGGAUCUUCCGCAAUGGGGGCAACCCUGACGGAGCGACGCCGCGUGCAGGAUGAAGGCCUUCGGGUCGUAAACUGCCGUCACACGUUAUGAAAAAGUGCUCACUAACACUGCGCACCUUGACAAAGGCGUGAAAGGAAGCCACGGCUAACUUCGUGCCAGCAGCCGCGGUAAGACGAAGGUGGCAAGCGUUGCUCGGAAUUACUGGGCAUAAAGCGCGCGUAGGUGGUCUUGUAAGCGGGGGAUGAAAGCCCAUGGCUCACCCAUGGAACUGUCCCUCGUACUGCAAGGCUUGAGGCGGAGGGGAGAAUGGAAUUCCCGGUGUAGCGGUGAAAUGCGUAGAUAUCGGGAGGAACGCCGGUGGCGAAAGCGAUUCUCUGGUCCGCUCCUGACACUGAGGCGCGAAAGCUAGGGGAGCAAACAGGAUUAGAUACCCCAGUAGUCCCUGAGCGGGCUGGCAAGGCGCAU